UACAGAGGGGGCAAGCGUUAUUCGGAAUUAUUGGGCGUAAAGGGCGCGUAGGCGGCUUGGCAAGUGGAAGGUGAAAUCCCUCGGCUUAACCGAGGAACUGCCCUCCAAACUGCUUUGCUUGAGGCCGGGAGAGGCGAGUGGAAUUCCCAGUGUAGCGGUGAAAUGCGCAGAUAUCAGGAGGAACACCGAUGGCGAAGGCAGGUCUCUGGGCCACUACUGACGCUGAGAAGCGAAAGCAUGGGGGAGCGAACAGG
rnacentral:rRNA from 1 species